GCGAUUGUGGCGCAAUCGGUUAGCGCGUCCGGCUGUUAACCGGAAGGUUGAUGGUUCGAUCCCAUCCAGUCGCG